CCAUAGCCCUGAUCGCAGCGGCAUCCUUUUUUGGUGGCUGAGGCCCCCGAAGCCACCAAAAAAGAUACAGCGGAGAGCAGGUUCCCGG
rnacentral:sRNA from 1 species